rnacentral:rRNA from 1 species
GACGAACGCUGGCGGCGUGCCUAAUACAUGCAAGUCGAACGCAGUUGCGAACGUGUGAGUAACGCGUAGGUAACUGCCUGGUAGCGGGGGAUAACUAUUGUAAACGAUAGCUAAUACCGCAUACUACCAGAUGGACCUGCGUUGUAUUAGCUAGUUGGUGGGGUAACGGGUCACCAAGGCAACGUUACAUAGCCGAGCCGGGGAGGUGAUCGGCCAAACUGGGAAUGGGACACGGGCCAGACUCCUUCGGGAAGGAGCAGUAGGGAAUCUUCGGCAAUGGGGGGAAACCUGACCGAGCAAAGCCGGGUGGGUGGAGAAGGUUUUCGGGUCGUAAAGCUAUGUUGUUCAGGAAGCGGUACUUAACCAGAAAGGGACGGCUAACUACGUGCCAGCAGCCGCGGUAAUAC